rnacentral:lncRNA from 10 species
GUGAGAUGCUCAACGAAGAGGCCCAUGAGGCAGGGCACCGAGGGAGGCUUCUGGCCAACAGCUCCUGGGGAACCAAGGCCUUAGGAAGUGAGUCCUGCCAACAAUAACGAGAGCCUUGAACUUUGAAACCACAGUACCUUGUUCCAGCGUGGAAAGCAGCGUGGCACUUCCCGGUGGUGAAAGCACCCCAGCUUGAAAGGGGGUCAGCCAGGAGUGGAUCUGGAAGCUGGAGAACUCUCAAUACGCCACUUCAGUUUAUUGACGACAUUUAUAAUUGCAACCGAAGUUGACUGAUUUCUGCUAAAUGAAAGUUUGCGCUUUGCCCUUUAGCAUUGAGGCUCCUGGAAAGAACUUCAAUGAAAUUGGAUGCAUUGAGACCAAAGAAAAGAAGGGGACAUUUUUAUCUCUCUGAUACCUUUCUCCCCAGGGCUUGGAAACACUUCUUAAACACAACCUCUAAUGUUGGUGUUUUGUAAGUACUACCCCUAUGAAUAAAG